GACGAACGCUGGCGGCAUGCCUAAUACAUGCAAGUCGAACGCUUCUACCUAUUGAGUGCUUGCACUCGACUGGUAGAAGAGUGGCGGACGGGUGAGUAACACGUGGGUAACCUGCCCAUAAGUGGGGGAUAACAUUCGGAAACGGAUGCUAAUACCGCAUAAUUCUGAUUGCCGCAUGGCAGACAGAUGAAAGGUGGCUUCGGCUACCGCUUAUGGAUGGACCCGCGGCGUAUUAGCUAGUUGGUGAGGUAAUGGCUCACCAAGGCAAUGAUACGUAGCCGACCUGAGAGGGUGAUCGGCCACACUGGGACUGAGACACGGCCCAGACUCCUACGGGAGGCAGCAGUAGGGAAUCUUCCGCAAUGGACGAAAGUCUGACGGAGCAAUGCCGCGUGAGUGAAGAAGGUUUUCGGAUCGUAAAACUCUGUUGUUAGAGAAGAACAAGGAUGAGAGUAACUGCUCAUCCCCUGACGGUAUCUAACCAGAAAGCCAUGGCUAACUACGUGCCAGCAGCCGCGGUAAUACGUAGAUGGCAAGCGUUGUCCGGAUUUAUUGGGCGUAAAGCGAGCGCAGGCGGUUCUUUAAGUCUGAUGUGAAAGACCCCAGCUCAACUGGGGAAGGUCAUUGGAAACUGAAGAACUUGAGUGCAGAAGAGGAGAGUGGAAUUCCAUGUGUAGCGGUGAAAUGCGUAGAUAUAUGGAGGAACACCAGUGGCGAAGGCGACUCUCUGGUCUGUAACUGUCGCUGAGGCUCGAAAGCGUGGGGAGCAAACAGG
rnacentral:rRNA from 1 species